rnacentral:rRNA from 1 species
UUAUGGCUCAGGAUGAACGCUGGCGGCGUGCUUAACACAUGCAAGUCGAACGGAGUUUUAACGGAAGUUUCGGAUGGAAGUUAGAACUUAGUGGCGGACGGGUGAGUAACGCGUGGGUAACCUGCCUCAUACAGGGGGAUAACAGUUAGAAAUGACUGCUAACACCGCAUAAUAUAGCGAAACCGCAUGAUUUUUGCUAUCAAAUAUUUAUAGGUAUGAGAUGGGCCCGCGUCUGAUUAGCUAGUUGGUGGGGUAAAGCCUACCAAGGCGACGAUCAGUAGCCGGCUUGAGAGAGUGACCGGCCACAUUGGGACUGAGACACGGCCCAAACUCCUACGGGAGGCAGCAGUGGGGAAUAUUGGACAAUGGGGGAAACCCUGAUCCAGCGAACCGCCGCGUGAGUGAAGAAGUAUUUCGGUAUGUAAAGCUCUAUCAGCAGGGAAGAUAAUGACAGUACCUGACUAAGAAGCCCCGGCUAACUACGUGCCAGCCGCUGC